CUGUUAACAUAGAGUCACAUAGAGGUGGUCCAUGUCUAACUGUUAACAUAGAGUCACAUAGAGGUGGUUCAUGUCUAACUGUUAACAUAGAGGUGGUUCAUGUCUAACUGUUAACAUAGAGUCACAUAGAGGUGGUUCAUGUCUAACUGUUAACAUAGAGUCACAUAGAGGUGGUUCAUGUCUAACUGUUAACAUAGAGGUGGUUCAUGUCUAACUGUUAACAUAGAGUCACAUAGAGGUGGUUCAUGUCUAACUGUUAACAUAGAGUCACAUAGAGGUGGUUCAUGUCUAACUGUUAACAUAGAGUCACAUAGAGGUGGUCCAUGUCUAACUGUUAACAUAGAGUCACAUAGAGGUGGUCCAUGUCUAACUGUUAACAUAGAGUCACAUAGAGGUGGUCCAUGUCUAACUGUUAACAUAGAGUCACAUAGAGGUGGUUCAUGUCUAACUGUUAACAUAGAGUCACAUAGAGGUGGUCCAUGUCUAACUGUUAACAUAGAGUCACAUAGAGGUGGUCCAUGUCUAACUGUUAACAUAGAGUCACAUAGAGGUGGUCCAUGUCUAACUGUUAACAUAG